CAGGGAGGACAGGUGGUGCAUGGUUGUCGUCAGCUCGUGUCGUGAGAUGUUGGGUUAAGUCCCGCAACGAGCGCAACCCCUACGUUUAGUUGCUAACGCGUGAAGGCGAGCACUCUAGACGAACUGCCGUUGACAAAACGGAGGAAGGUGGGGAUGACGUCAAAUCAUCAUGCCCCUUAUGUUCUGGGCUACACACGUGCUACAAUGGCCGGUACAGACGGACGCAAAGCCGCGAGGUGGAGCAAAUCCUAAAAAGCCGGUCUCAGUUCGGAUUGCAGGCUGCAAUUCGCCUGCAUGAAGUCGGAAUCGCUAGUAAUCGCAGGUCAGCAUACUGCGGUGAAUACGUUCCCGGGCCUU
rnacentral:rRNA from 1 species